CCUCAUGACAGGUUUUGAUAAAUCUCCCCCAUUGUUUGUAGUGCAGUUUAUAUUUCAACAGAAAUUAGAAUAUUAGACAUUUUCACAUGAAUUUCACAGUUUUAAAGCCUCAAGCUUUCAGAUACACAGGAAACACAUUGCAAUAGAAUGCAAAUUAACAGUUAUUGAAAAAACUAUUCAGCCGCUAAAGGCGUAUUAUAAAAAUGUGGAAUUCAGAUCAGUCAUAUUCCUGGGGCAUAAAGUGAAAAUGUGUCUAGCUUGAGAAAGACUCAAUAAAAUAGUCAUGAGGGAUCAAAGGCUAAAGAUCUCAACCUACAUGGAGUGCAAGACAUGCAUGAGACAAACAGACGGUUCCAGAUGAAUCUACUUUGGCAAGGUAAAAAAAACAUCCAGUAAUCCAAAGGAUUGAACCUUUCACAGCAUUACAAAAUGCUUCCAGUUAGAAGAAGAAAAUUCAACCUCAAAAAUUUAAAUAUAUUAUGGUACAUCUGUAAAGAAUGUAGGAAGGCUGUGAAAAUAAAAGAAUAAUCAAAAAAAUACAACACAUUAAAUAAG